UGGGGGAUAUUGCACAAUGGGCGAAAGCCUGAUGCAGCGACGCCGCGUGGGGGAUGAAGGCUUUCGGGUUGUAAACCUCUUUCGCUAUCGAACAAGGCCCGCUUAGGGUGGGUUGAGGGUAGGUGGAGAAGAAGCGCCGGCUAACUACGUGCCAGCAGCCGCGGUAAUACGUAGGGCGCGAGCGUUGUCCGGAAUUAUUGGGCGUAAAGGGCUUGUAGGCGGCUUGUUGCGCCUGCUGUGAAAACGCGGGGCUUAACUUCGCGCGUGCAGUGGGUACGGGCAGGCUUGAGUGUGGUAGGGGUGACUGGAAUUCCAGGUGUAGCGGUGGAAUGCGCAGAUAUCUGGAGGAACACCGAUGGCGAAGGCAGGUCACUGGGCCAUUACUGACGCUGAGGAGCGAAAGCAUGGGUAGCGUACAGG
rnacentral:rRNA from 1 species